rnacentral:rRNA from 1 species
UACGGAGGGUGCAAGCAUUAAUCGGAUUUAUUGGGUGUAAAGAGCGUGUAGGCGGAUUGGUAAGUCAGAUGUGAAAUUUCGGAGCUCAACUUCGAAGCUGCAUUUGAAACUACCUGUCUUGAGGGUAGACGGAGAAAACGGAAUUCCAAGUGUAGCGGUGAAAUGCGUAGAUAUUUGGAAAGAACACCGGUGGCGAAAGC